rnacentral:rRNA from 1 species
AUGACAUGGGAGGAAGAAGGCAAGAUAAAAGUGCGCCUUGCACGCCUUCGCAUCACUUAUUACAAGGCUUUGAAGCCAGAGUGCGCACGUGAACGUGAGCUUAAGGAACCAGAAGAAUACACUGAUGCUGAACUUGGUGAGGAGUUGUACUUUAAGCGGUUAGAGGAGGAUAAAAGUUUUGACUGGUUCGUCCAUCCUGAUGACACCUAUAAAGCUGGAUUGAAUGACUACCAACGGAUUGCCCCUCGUAAUUUUCUGCAUCAUAGCGGUCGGAACCUGUACCGCUAUCACGAUGAGUACCGCUCAUGUUAUCAUACAUAUAAAAUUGUUGUUGUUUAUGUCAAUGGAUAG